CGGACAUGUUUGCUCUGUAAGCAAACUGCAGGGGGUCCAGUAAGGGUCCAGUGAUGUCCUUCAGGAGUGCUCUGUUGUGUUACCGGACCCCUCUCUCUGUGGGGAACACCUUCAGCAAAGCCUCCAUACGGUUUUCUUCAUUUGACCUGCCACUGAUGGAUCAUCUGUUCACCUUCAACAGGCGACAUGGAAAUAUGGUGGAGACGCUCUCACGGUGAAGCAAGACCUGUCUAGUAGAUGCUAGAGGAAAGACUCCACCCUCUUCUGCGUUUGGGGUGCAACACUAGAGACUGGAUCAAUGAAGUCAGAUGGUGGAUCUUCAUGUACAUCUUCUCUAGUGUUUCCAGAACUACCCUUUCUACAGCUGCGAUACAGAAAUGAUGCAUUUAGCAGCUUAUUUAAACCGAUAAAUACCAUGCGUGCACAUUGAUUUAGUAUGGAACUCAAGACUGGAUUUUCCUCUCACUCCAGAGAGGUACCUUAUUUUAAAGAGGCACACUGGAGCUCAAAGGAGCUCACACUGGAGUUGGUGGAUGAGCCUCCAGCCGUCUCUGUGAUGGUCUGCCGGAGACACUGGAGCAGUGAAAGAUGGAGUGACUAAGAUUUGCUUCUUACCAAGGCAAGUAAAUGCACAUUAAAAUUAUAGCCAAUUGAAUUUCAGAAAAUAAGACGAAAGAAAACUAUAUGUAUUAAAAU